AAAUAAUAAUAAUAAAAAUAAAAAAUAAAGAGAACUCCAGUGCAAUUUUGUGCAGUUUCAGUUUUUUUAACUUAAAUGAGAUUUACACGAGAUAAAUAACUUAAAAGAGAUUUACAUGAGAUCCCUGUCCAUCAACAUAGACAAGAAAGAGUGCAGUCUUGCAAGUCAACUUAAUAGUAAUCCACGGUUCAAUGAGGUAACAGAUAAAAGAAUUAUGCACAUUUUGAUUAGAAAGGAAAAUUACUAUUUAGUACCUAUAUUUUAACGAAACUAACUACUUG
rnacentral:misc_RNA from 1 species